CUCCAUGUCAUGUGCUGCUUUUGAAAGAUUCAGCUCCUUAUUGGAGUGGGUGAUUGUGUGUGAGACUGGCCUGUGUCAUGCAGUGCACUAUUUUGAUGACUUCUUAUUUUCAGGAAGUUUGGGGACAGACAACUGGCAACAGAUUCUGGGAAUUCACUCUUUUCGCCAGCAGGAAUCCAAGCUUAACUGUGCAUGGGCCAUACCAUAAACCAGACUGCAAGGUGAAGAAGGCAAAGCAAGUCAUGAACUGUUGGGUGUUGCACCUCUGAAUAAAGGUUGCAGAACAUUAAGAACAUAAGAAUGGCCACACUGGGUCAGAUCAGUGACCCAUCUAUCCCAGUAUCCUGUUUUCCAAGAGUGGCCAAUGCAAACA